rnacentral:rRNA from 1 species
GUAUCAUUAAGCGGAGGAAAAGAAACUAACAAGGAUGCCCUUAGUAACGGCGAGUGAAGCGGGCAAAGCUCAAACUGAAAAUCGGGUCUCCACACGGGGAUUCGAAUUGUAGUCUAUAGACGUAGCGUCAGUAGUGACCCAGGUAUAAAUCUUUUGAAACAAGGUAUCAUAGAGGGUGAGAAUCCCGUCUUUGACUUGGAGUUCACUGCGUACGACCUGCGUUCAAAGAGUCGAGUUGCUUGGGAUUGCAGCUCUAAUUGGGUGGUAAAUUUCAUCUAAAGCUAAAUAACGAUCAGAGACCGAUAGCGCACAAGUA